AAUAUUAAUAUGACAGAUUCCAUUCUACUUUUUCUAUUUUACGGAAAUUACUUACUUUGCUACGGCGUUUCCUACCUUGGUCGCGCAAUUGUUAAGCGGCUUCUUGUUCAUGGUUACUCCGUGAGAAUCAUCGACUGCGAAGGUAAUUGAUUCCAGUCGAUGAGGUAACGGAAAACUGUGACCCUCGUUCCACAACAGCCAUAAUCACAUGUGAGUUUUUUUUUCUUUUUUUUCCAGCUUAUUCUGUUUAUCCGAGUCCUCUCUCGCCGGAGAGCCAUCUCGGAAGAGAAGUGGCGUUCUUGACUGAAUCUAUCUCGCAGCCUCAUGAUAUGUCAGGGACAUCUUCCACGAAUCGUAUUGUGGUCUCGCCUACCGAAACAGAGCAGUGGAUUCCGGACGGCAUCGGGACGCCGGAAGAGUUGGGAAAGAGAGGGUUAGAGGUUGGGUACGGAGCUUGCGGAGUGGAGAUGAAGAUUCAUCCUGCUCCCAAACCCUCUCCUAUUUAUAGAUCGAUGUGAAGGAAACAUAAAGGUCCACAUUGUUAUUGGGUUUAAUGUGAAUAACAAUUAUUGGCGAAUUAAAAGAAAUACGUUGAACGAUAGAGGAGAUAAAGAGAUGAGCGGAGAAGGCGAGGGCUGAGUUCUGGAAUGAGGAUAACGAUGGAGCCCUAAUUAGGUGAAGCCAAAACGCAGAGUUUCACUUUUAUCAAACCAAACAGGAAGACACAAAUCAGACCAAACCAAAUUGACCAAUCGAAACCGAAAAUUAGACGGAGUUUCACUUUUAUCAAACCAAACAGGAAGACACAAAUCAGACCAAACCAAAUUGACCAAUCGAAACCGAAAAUUAGACGGGGCCCACAGUCAUUAAAAAAACGCAUACGUGGAUGCUCUUAGAAGAGAGGAAAGAGCCCCAUUAUAUAUAUGACUAGGGAUUAACCCGGGCUACGCCCGAAAUUUUUAUUUUUUUCUAAUUUAAGUUGUUAAAUUAUUUAUAUUUAGGUUAUGAUAUAUAUUUAUAUAAAUGUUAAGAUAGAUGUCAUAAUUAAGCUUAAACAGUAAAUAAGCACCACCACUAGGCAGCAUAAUAAGAAAACAACUUAAAAGCUGAGACAGAGAGAAGAGAAGCUAUCAGACCAAAGCCAAACACUUCAAUGUCUUCGUUAUCCUGCAGCAGGAACCACAGUGGUAGCUCGCAAAGCCGUGGCUGAAGCUUCUUUGAUAAGCAGAUCGUUUAGCCACAAAGGUCCUCCUGAUGCAACAUAAGACUGAGAACGGUUGUCCGAUAUCACACUAUUAGCGAUCGACUUAGCAGCUAAUUUCUCUCAUUCUUAAUAAAGUUAACACUCCAAUCCUGGAAAAGCCUCAAACGCUCUACGAUGGCAGAGAUCAGAAGAUGGAAUUGGGAAAAUAGAUCUGGUCGAAGAAGAGCUAUCCGAAGAUCCAAAGAGGAGGUUUCAAAAAUCACACGUUGAGAAUGGUGAGAAACCAUAGAUUCUACUGACCAGAGAAGGGCAUGAAGCUCCGUAGUAAGCGGAGAUGCUAGUCUUGUGAAGGCCCGUCGGCUGUGUAAAAGUACUUUACCCUCCUCAUCACGAAGUAGCCAGGCAGCUCCACUCAGUGGCGCAUUAAAAGUCCAAGACGAGGCCACAUUACAUUUAAGCCAGUUAGGAGGAGGGCGCAUCCAGCGAACCUUAUCAAUAGAAGCUGGAGCCAAAGGGGCUUCCAAUGCUGUACUAGGCGCCAUAGUUUCUCUCCAUACUUCAGCAUCCAUCAUAGCUUUAUCAAGAACACUAGCCGGAGCAAGUCUUGUAUGCUCAAAACAGAACUCACUCUGUCUAAUUAUCAAGAACUCACUCUCUCCUCAAAUUUAAGAAAGAUUCCGACUUAAUUUGGGAAGACUCUUCGGUUUCCUAAUGUUUAUCCAAUAGGUUAAUAUUCGAGAUUUUUGCUUAAUCUCCAAUUUAAGUUAAACUUUAUUAAAAGUGGUGACGUAUUUAUGAAAAAUGAGGAAAAGUAUCAUCUAAGACAAAUUUAAGUUGGUGUUACAGAAACACAAAUUUAAUUUUAAUAUUUACUAGGGUUUGAUCUGCGCGCCUGCACGGGUGCUGAUUCAUUUUAUGUGUCUAAAUUAGUUUUAUAUAACGAAAUUAUUAUGUAUUAUCUAAAUUUUGAUGUUAUUUGCUAUAUAAUUGUAUAACCUUAUUGUUUUAUGUGUCUUGUACGAUAAUACUAUUAUAUAUAUAAUGUUUUUAUGUUUUUGAAAUAUAGUAUACUUUGUUAUUUCUUUAAUAAUCAUUUUGUUUUUGGAACAUUUGGUUAAAACCCCAGUACUAGAAGUUCGUUUCCCUUGACAUGAAUUUUUCUUUAGGUGGCUGGCAAGUGAAACAGGCAACCAGUUGUACCAGAAAAUACCCUUUUAAAAGGUUUGCCUCUCAAUUUUAACUUUUGGGUUGGAGUUGUAUCGUCAUUAACUAAAUUGAUUGACAUGAAACAAAUAUUAGUAAUGUACAUGUACAGUGAUGUUUCGGUGGUGAAUUAAGGAUCAAAGUACAUAUUCUUAUAUGCAUCUAUACAUUUGUCAAACAAUCUGAAAAUUGUGCAUGUUUACCCCAUCGUCAUUUUUUCUCACUUUUGUGAUGUAUAUAAUCAUCAGAGCACCUCAAAAAAUAAACAAAGACGGACAACUAAUUGACGUUAGGCUACCAGUGAAGCAUAUACAAUUUAUGGAACUUAGGGUAUAGGGUGCAUGCCAUACACCACUUGGAUGUAUCUUACUUACAUAAGACUUACCUCUUGUUUGCUCUAAACAAUUAUACUUCCAAAGCAUUGCUGAACUUAUGAUAAGCAAUUCAGUCGUGCUCUGUUUUAAGAGGCAUUAGUAAGUUUGAUCUUGUGUACUCCGGUUUGGUUUGCUACAGACGACGACAUUGUCGCAAUCAAAACCCCAAAGCGUAGCAGCAAUGCUGCAUCAUUUGAUUCUGAAAGAAAAGAAAAAACAGAAAUCUAGUUUCACAUGUAAAGUUUUUGCAUUUGUCAAUAAAUAAACAAAUCUUAAGUUUAAGAAAAUAGAGCAAGAUGUUUACCAAUCUCAUUAUUAGAUCUUCAACUCUCAUCUCCAACUCUCCUAUUAACAUAAAUACAUGACGUUUCCAACUUCUUUAGUUGGGGAAUUCCUCACCUCUGAGCUCGCCUGCUGAUAGAGUCUCCAAAGCUCCCUGGGUAAGCAUAUGUUCAUCGUUGGACAUUUUCUCUCUAUGCAACCGAGACAUAAGUUUCAUAUAUCGAUGUUUUCUCCCAAGAAAAUGCUACGUUCCCAAAAGUCUGAACAAAUCUCCUCACUAUCCGAAAAUAUUUCCACUUUGAAUACAUUGCCACAUUCAGAUACACCUAGAUAUUCACCAUUAAUGCAAUCCCAAAGCUUUCUGCAGAUUGGUUUCUUGUCUCUUAACAAUCUGCUAACCAAACCUCUGUGAGAUUCUCUUGCUUCACAUUAGCCAAUACCUCAUAAGAAUACACAUGAGAGUUUUCUUUACAUUAAGAUACAUUUUGCAAUUUUUGGUUUUUUAUCCUUUAGCCACAGUAGCUACGUUUGAUAAUAGAUCAGUCUCUUCUCUCUUUAUCCUCACCAGUAAGAUACUUGGAUACUCUCCAAUCCAGCUCACUGAAAAAUAAACGCACUUGAGGCUAUACAAUCAAAGACUUGGGUUUUCAUAGAGAGAGGCUAGCUAUAGUAAGCAUAAAAGCUACACACAGGUUGAAUAUUAGAGAACCACCCCAAAAUCAAUCGAUGCGAAUAUCUAAUUCAAGAGCGACGUUGAAAGCUUCGAAACCCAAAUAGCUGCAAACGGGUCUGGUUUAACGCGACACGUUGAGGGCAAUGGCCACAAAAACCUUAGUGUUCCACUCCUUCAUGGAGUAAAAGCUUGAAUUCCAAUUAGAAAUACGCUGAUGAGCAGUAACCAAAGAAGCAAAAGAAAGAAAACAACAGAUUUUGGUGCUGAUUAUACAAAAAGCGGUUGGAAUCAAAGCAGGCUCAAUGCAAAAGUUACGCAAUGGAGAUGAAGGAAACAUAUGCAUAGGGUAAAUCGUAUAUUGACUUUUUUGUUAGAAUCACAUUAUAGUUGAUUUAUUAGUACGUAACUAUAAUUUCGCUGGUUUACUAAUUACAUAAAACUAUUGUGUUUUUAUAUUACAGUAAUUAUUUAGGAAAAAUCUGGAUUAAGUACAAAAUGUACUCAUGUUUUAAUAGUUUAGAUAGUAUAUGUUCUCCUUUUUAUUCUUACUAUGGACGGAGCUCCGCGCAAGCGCGGGGUUGUUGACAAUUAGAUAUGUUGAAAUACCUUUAAAAUGUUAUAGGAAGUGUCGUGGAGUGAUUUGUUUGUUUAGUUGAAGUGGUCUAAAAUAACAAAAUUUAUGUUCAAUAUUUUGUUGGUUCGUAAUGGGUUUUACGGUUAAAAUAAGUAAAAUUUAAGCAGUUCUUUAGAUUUAUAAACACCUCGAGAUUCUUCUAGUCAGAUUUAUACGCUAAUUAGUAAUUCCUUAGUUAUGAUCUAGUUGUUUCACUUUGUAACCAUAUUCUGAGUGUGGAAGCCACAAAGUUCUCACUUGCAAGUAAACUUUACUUUGUCUUUGGCUAACCUACCGUAACUACCGUCUCAAGACCUCUCCUCUUAUCCUGAAUCAUUAACACAAAAGUGUUUUGCAGAAAAAGAAAAAGAAAAAAAAAUGAAUUGAUAUCGUGGAAAGAAAAAAAAAACAGUUAAAUAUUAAAGUAGUUUAGUUAGAGCAUAGUUUUGUUAUUAGUAGUUGUCAAAGUGUGUUAAAAUUUGAAAUUGUGUUUUAUGUAAUUAAUCUCUUAGUACUAUGAGGUUCUCGUUAGUUACUAAAAACAAUCGUAUAAACAAUCUACGUAUAACGUCACGUAGGAAACAACCGUGAAACGAUCAGAAUAAACAUAGAAGGGCUGUUAAGUUGAGAGCAACCCCUCCAGCUUUCAAACUCAUCAAGAAAAUUUUGCAAUUUUGAUCUUCCCUGAAUUUAUUGAUAGCAACAUCUCUAGUUGCCAUUGACAUGCUUCCCACCAGUUGGGUGCAACCAAACCCCACACUGAAAGAAUUUUACACUCUCAUUAAAACUAUUGGUUAAAGAAUAACAUAUUCAUAUCAUAGUGUGUUUCUCUUGAUAUUACCUUCCCGAGGGUGUAGUUUAUCAGAUCCAAGAAUGAUGUGAACUGGCUGAAAACUAUUGCUUGCAGACCCAUCUCUUUGGACCAUGAGCCUUAUUUCUUCCCUCUGCAGACAGACAUGAUAAAUAAAGAAAGAGGCUCAAAAUGCAAAAUAAACUUAACAGGGUGUAAUGACAUAAGCUGUAAAUAUAAAUAUUUAAGAGUACAUACCAAAGUCUCUAUCUUUGUACUUGUCUGAAAAUCAUUGAGCUUGGUCCGAUUAAAAUGCUUGAGGCUCUAAAUCCUUUAAUUGUUGUCUUGUUUGCCUGCUGCUCAAUGUCAGAUUCCUGAAAGUAACCUGUCUAAAAUAUUAAUAUGACAGAUUCCAUUCUACUUUUUCUAUUUUACGGAAAUUACUUACUUUGCUACGGCGUUUCCUACCUUGGUCGCGCAAUUGUUAAGCGGCUUCUUGUUCAUGGUUACUCCGUGAGAAUCAUCGACUGCGAAGGUAAUUGAUUCCAGUCGAUGAGGUAACGGAAAACUGUGACCCUCGUUCCACAACAGCCAUAAUCACAUGUGAGUUUUUUUUUCUUUUUUUUCCAGCUUAUUCUGUUUAUCCGAGUCCUCUCUCGCCGGAGAGCCAUCUCGGAAGAGAAGUGGCGUUC
rnacentral:lncRNA from 1 species